CCUACGGGAGGCAGCAGUGGGGAAUAUUGCACAAUGGGGGAAACCCUGAUGCAGCGACGCCGCGUGAAUGAAGAAGUAUCUCGGUAUGUAAACUUCUAUCAGCAGGGAAGAAAAUGACGGUACCUGACUACGAAGCCCCGGCUAACUACGUGCCAGCAGCCGCGGUAAUACGUAGGGGGCAAGCGUUAUCCGGAUUUACUGGGUGUAAAGGGAGCGUAGACGGAAGAGCAAGUCUGAAGUGAAAGGCCGGGGAUUAACCCCCGGACUGCUUUUGAAACUGUUUUGCUUGAGUGCCGGAGAGGUAAGCGGAAUUCCUAGUGUAGCGGUGAAAUGCGUAGAUAUUAGGAGGAACACCAGUGGCGAAGGCGGCUUACUGGACUGUAACUGACGUUGAGGCUCGAAAGCGUGGGGAGCAAACAGGAUUAGAUACCCCAGUAGUC
rnacentral:rRNA from 1 species